rfam:Triticum aestivum genome assembly, contig: Triticum_aestivum_CS42_TGACv1_scaffold_404292_5BL
CAACUACUCCUCCGUUCCGAAUUACUUGUCGUAGAAAUGGAUGUAUCUAGAACUAAAAAAUGUCUAGAUACAUCCAUUUCUACGACAAGUAAUUCCGAACGGAGGGAGUAUCUG